GACGUAGGGGACGAGCGUUGUCCGGAUUCAUUGGGCGUAAAGCGCGCGUAGGCGGUUCGGUAAGUCGGGUGUGAAAACACGAGGCUCAACCUCGUGCGUGCAUCCGAUACUGCCGGACUAGAGGUAGGUAGGGGAGAUCGGAAUUCCUGGUGUAGCGGUGAAAUGCGCAGAUAUCAGGAGGAACACCGGUGGCGAAGGCGGAUCUCUGGGCCUUACCUGACGCUCAGGCGCGAAAGCGUGGGGAGCAAACAGG
rnacentral:rRNA from 1 species